GUCUCUCAAAAUGCUUGGUGCGAUCAUGUAGAACUGGAUUAGCCGCAAUCUGAAUCGUACUAGUAUUAUCACCAUAUAGAUGCACCAGAGUAUGAACUGUAACACAAAGGUCAGCGAGAAGACGGAUGAGCCAGACAAUCUCAUAGCACACUUCAGACAUGGAGCGAUCAAAUGCCCCGAUAUACUUUAUCCUGCUUCUGGAAGACCCUAGACUUCUAUCAUUUAUUAAAUGACUCAAAUGCUCCACAUCCUUCGCUGUUUACUCACUCCGAGGAUUCUGACAUGUUGGACAUCAACUGCAUCUCUUGCAAGGUAUAUAUGCUCUGGUAUCUCUAGUAUGACCUAGUUAGUGGCUCGAGGUCAGUCUUUAUGCUCAAAUCUUAUUUUUAUUAGGAUAGGAAUAAAGUACAAUAUGGUUAAGAAAUAUCUUAGUUCUUAGUAAUUCGUAUGAAACCAUUCUUACUCUUAAUCUUAACCUUAUCUAAGGUAAUUUAUUCAUAUAGGGCGUCCCUGUCUCAACUAACUAGCCCUACUGUCCAUUCAUAAGAUUCCUAAAUGUCCCGGAGCACGUAUCCAUCGUACAAUAAUUCAUAAGGGCAAAACCAGCCCGAUUCAUAAAUCAUAAGGGCAACACCGGCCCAAUUCAUAAUUUGUAGAGGCGGGGUCUAGCUGGUGAGGUUCAUAUUCUUAUUCCACCUAGUAAUGCUCUAAGUGAGAUUCGUAUAACUAAUGUUCUUAAAUUCAUAAAAUAAAUACUGUAAUGUAAUUCGUAACAUAAUUUAAAAUAAUAACAUUAAGAAGUUAUCCCAUAAACCACCCACCUGAUAAAGAAAUGGUGAGGGUCGAAUCCGAGAAAUGAAGAUUGAAACUAGAAUGCUUGAUCGUCUUUAAGAACCUAAAACGUCCAUCACGUACACCACGAACUCGUCAUCAUUGUCUGCCUCGAAACCCAGGUGACUUUUAAAUUGUCUCUAUGUCCAACCUGUUCAACACUCUCUCGGGUCGAUGAUCCGACGACCAUUCGAUCGUCCGAAAUGAAUCAUCAGCGAGAUUGAAUGCGAUGACGAAAUCCUCCAUUCCCUCUCUAGCUCAGAUCCAGUAUAAAUGGCCGCUUGCAGCAACAUGAUGGUCGUAAUUGGCUGGUGGGAUAUAUGCAUCUGUUAACACCUUCCAAGACCAACUCUUCCAAGAGAAAACAACAGCUUUUACUUUCAACCCGUCCCAUAUCUCUUGAUCUUCGCUCUCCCAGUUGUUGUAAAACAUAUUCCAGAACAUCAUGUUACUGUUGCUGAAUUGUAUACAAAUCAAGCCAUUGCAAGAACCAAUUAUUGAUCUAGAAUAGCCCAAUUCCUUGACGGGCACCUCCAAAUCAGUGUGAAGUGUAGUAAAGUUGGUGUCGAAGACUGCGAUUUUGAGCUGAUCCAGUGACAAGCCGUGUUGGACUAUUAGGUGAUGGUUGUUGGAGGAAGAGCGACGGAGGUGGGCGGGGAAGGGUUGACCAGUGUUUCGAAACGGACUUGAACUGAAGAAUCAAUUUCACGGUAAUCGGCUGAGGAUGUCGAUCACAAUGUCUACUCAAGGAAAUUUCAUACUAGUUGCAGAAGGCAUCAUUGACUCCUUAGUGUUUGUGUUCAUUUGGAAGGCGACUACUGUGUGUCUUGUGUUAUGUUUGUUUGUUCGCUUUACCCUCGUAGUUAUCAUACUAGAGUACUAUCC
rnacentral:lncRNA from 1 species